CCUACGGGGGGCAGCAGUGAGGAAUAUUGGUCAAUGGGCGGGAGCCUGAACCAGCCAAGCCGCGUGAGGGAAGAAGGUACAGCGUAUCGUAAACCUCUUUUGUCAGGGAACAAAGGCGGGGACUAGUCCCCGGAUGAGGGUACCUGAAGAAAAAGCAUCGGCUAACUCCGUGCCAGCAGCCGCGGUAAUACGGAGGGUGCAAGCGUUACUCGGAAUCACUGGGCGUAAAGAGUGCGCAGGCGGGCUUGUAAGGCAGAUGGGAAAUCCUGUAGCUUAACUACAGAACUGCAUUUGAAACUAUGAGG
rnacentral:rRNA from 1 species